rnacentral:misc_RNA from 1 species
GUGAAUCAUCAAAUCUUUGAACGCAAAUUGCACUCUCCGGUUUUCCGGGAGAGUAUGCCUGUUUGAGGGUCAGCCUAAAAAAAAUCGACAUUGUUGCUGUUUUAUGGUGACUUUCGUCGGAGAUGGGUUAUCUUAAAUCUCGGUUUAAGCGACUUAAAAAUUUUUUUUACGAUUCUAGGAAUGUUUUUAAAAUUUUUUUUUUCCGUUUAAGUUAUCGAUUUUUU